GAUGAACGCUGGCGGCGUGCUUAACACAUGCAAGUCGAACGGACGCUUUGGGAAACUGGAGCGUUAGUGGCAAACGGGUGAGUAACACGUGGGUGACCUACCUCAAAGUGGGGAACAACAGACCGAAAGGUUUGCUAAUACCGCAUUAGUUCGGCGAUUCAAUUUGCCGAAUAAAGUCGCAAGACGCUUUGAGAGGGGCCCGCGUCCCAUCAGGUAGUUGGUGAGGUAAUAGCCCACCAAGCCGACGACGGGUAGCUGGUCUGAGAGGACGAUCAGCCACAAUGGAACUGAGAUACGGUCCAUACUCCUACGGGAGGCAGCAGUGAGGAAUAUUGGGCAAUGGGCGAAAGCCUGACCCAGCGACGCCGCGUGGGCGAUGAAGGCCUUCGGGUCGUAAAGCCCUUUUGGCAGGGACGAGUGAGGACGGUACCUGUCGAAUAAGUCUCGGCUAACUACGUGCCAGCAGCCGCGGUAAAACGUAGGAGGCGAGCGUUAUCCGGAUUUACUGGGCGUAAAGCGCGCGUAGGCGGUUGGGUAAGUCUGACGUGAAAGCCCCUGGCUCAACUGG
rnacentral:rRNA from 1 species